rnacentral:rRNA from 1 species
UACAGAGGUCCCGAGCGUUGUUCGGAUUCACUGGGCGUAAAGGGUGCGCAGGUGGUUGGGCAAGUUCGAUGUGAAAGCCCCCGGGCUUAACCCGGGAAUGGCAUUGAAAACUGCUUGACUGGAGGAUCGGAGGGGGGACUGGAAUUCUUGGUGUAGCAGUGAAAUGCGUAGAUAUCAAGAGGAACACCAGUGGCGAAGGCGAGUCCCUGGACGAUACCUGACACUGAGGCACGAAAGCUAGGGGAGCAAACAGG